GCGGACCGUGGAGGCCGGGUGCAGCCCCGUCGGCUCCGCGCUCCCAGCAGAAAGGGCUUUUCUGCGCCCCCCGCCCAUCACUUGGAUCUGGUCUGGCUAUUGCCCAGUGCCAUUCACCAAGGUGGUGAAAUUCACACGCCCAUCAAGAAUGCACAGGUGAGGGUGUCUCUUGCCAACACCCUCGCCCAUCCUGUCAAGACAGCAGCGUGUCAGAUCUCAAACUCAGUUCCCAGACCGGGGAUUGAACCCAGGCCACGGCAGCAAAAGCCUGGAAUCCCAACCACUAAGCCACCCAAGAACUCCCUGGGACCAGCUUCUUAGUUUGAAAACUGUCAAUAAAGAGGAAAGAGUCAAGCAUAGAGGAAAAAGAGAGGAGAGGAGAAUCUUUGGGUGCAGAUCAAGAAAGAGUUAAGGAAACAGUGGCCCAGAGAGACCAAGUAACUUAUUCCAAGCCACACAGCAAACUGGCUGCUUAACCUGUGUCCAAGCUGCUUGGGGAAGUCCCACAUGCCCCUGAUUCAACGGUGACACAUGAAUGAUGCUCAGUAAACAGUCAUCAAAUGGACCAACCAACCGGGCUAUCACCACUUCUGACUGUGCCUCCAUCUGAAAUUGCAGAAACCCUCUAUAGCCACCGUGACCUCCAGUUCCCAUUUCAGACAGGCUGACAUCCACGAUGUCACAUGAUAGAAGGUGACUCCAGAGAGGCUGACUACAAGGCUCCUGGAGGGAGCUAUGGCAGACAAGAGAAGAGCCUCCCUCUUGCCACUGGAUUUGCUGGCCUAGUGACCACUGUGAACACAGGUGGAAAGUGCCUGAGGGAGAUAAGGAGCCCCUGAGAUAAUGCUGAGUUCUGCAUGCAGCUGUGGGAGAUCUCAGAUCUAUUCCGUGGGUUCUAGUUAAAGGAACAGAAGCUCCAAUACUUUGGCCACCUGCUGUGAAGAACUGACUCAUUGGAAAAGACUCUGAUGCUGGGAAAGACUGAAAGCAGGAGAAGAAGGGGACGACAGAGGAUGAGAUGGUUGGAUGGCAUCACUGACACGAUGGACAUGAGUUUGAGCAAGCUCCGAGAGUAGGUGAUGGACAGGGAAGCCUGGCGUGCUGCAGUCCAUGGGGUCGCAAAGAGUCGGACACGACUGAGCGACUGAACUGAAAUUAUUAUUUAGUGUGUUCAAGCCAGUUCGACUUGUGUGUCUGUUGCUU